GUGCUGACUUUGGCAAUACAUAUAUUAAAAUUGGAACAAUACAGAGAUGAUUAGCAUGGGCCCUAUGCGAGGAUGACACACAACUCUGUUAAACAUUCUAUAUUUAU
ensembl:snRNA U6 U6 spliceosomal RNA